rnacentral:rRNA from 1 species
UCCGUAGGCGGGCGUCUAAGUCAGUGGUGAAAUCUUACAGCUCAACUGUAAAAUUGCCAUUGAUACUGGAUGUCUUGAAUUAGUGUGAAGUGGUUAGAAUGUGUAGUGUAGCGGUGAAAUGCAUAGAUAUUACACAGAAUACCAAUUGCGAAGGCAGAUCACUAACACUAUAUUGACGCUGAGGGACGAAAGCGUGGGGAGCGAACAGGAUUAGAUACCCUGAUAGUCC